rnacentral:rRNA from 1 species
CCCGGGCCUUGUACACACCGCCCGUCACACCACGAAAGCUGGCUGAACCAGAAGUCGGUGACCAAACCUUCGGGAUGGAACCGCCCAAGGUGCGGCCGGUGAUUGGGGUG